rnacentral:lncRNA from 1 species
CCCUAAAUUACCUGUCCUCGCCUGGGUUGAUAACAGUAUCGUCGAUGAACCUUUGGAUUGCAUUCAUAAACUUUUCGCCAUUUUUUCUCGGCCUUGUAAGCAGUUCAAGAACACGAAAAGGUAAUUGGUUUUCCAACAAUAACAGAUCCGAGUACACAAAUGUCAGCAAAUCGUCUUUAAUAAACAAUUUACCAUCAUCAUCAUCACCGUAACGCCUGUAAACUGCUUGUAAAAUUGCGCAGCCGUCAACGAAGAACAUCCAAGCCAGUUCCCUGUUAUCGUAGCCAGUCUUCUCUAAUUCCUGUGGAUCAUAGCAUUUCCUCAAGCCAUCGAUCUCUUUCUUCAUGUUUCUGUACAAGGAAUCCUUAUCGACUCCAAUGUUUUUGACGAAAUGUGCCGCUAAUUUGAGCUUGAUCUCUUCGGAUUGAUAGAGGGAGGGAUCACCGUAGUGGAAUGGGCCGAUUGAGAUCACUUUCGGCGUGAAAUACUUCUUGAAAUCUUCGUUACGGCGAAGGGCUGAUGGGACUUUUCGUAUUAAUGGUUUUGCAGUGAAGUUGGGUUGGCCGGCGUAGAAAGCUCCGUCUAAUGACCGGAGAUUCGCUACUUCGCCAUCGCUGAGAGGGACGUCCGUGAACCGCAUAUCAAUUCUCACGUAAUCGUUGUUGGUGUUGUUGUCGAUGAUUGUUUGAUCAGUGGAAACUGCUCCGACGGCGCCACCUCCUUCCUCCGUGGAGGACAUUUUCAGGCUGAGCGGUUGGGAGUAAUAAAGAAGGUGAUUUUGUAAACUGCUUUUGGGUGAGUGAGUGAUGUUGGAGAAAAGGUGGCGAAGUGGAUAAGAUGCUGACAAAUAUUUUAUAGCUUACAUGAUAAACAUAUAUGGGAAAUACUUAAGGCGUUAGUGUUUAUAUUUUUACUAAUAUAAUUUUAAUUUUUAAUUAAAUUUAUUUCUCUUUUGAAAGAGUCAAUGAUAAAAAAGAAAAGUUAAAUAGUGACAAAUAUUAAAAUUGAGAAUAAUAUUACAGAACUUAAAUAAACCUUGGCCUUAACCAAGAAACUAAGACCCUGUCAGAGGGAGAAUUUUAUAUCAUUUAAAUUAUUCCAAAUAUUUAACAUUGUAAACAUGCUUCUUUACAUAUAGUAAUUGCAUUUGUUACUCUACCUAACUCAUGAAAAAUCUCAAAUUUGCAACAUCACAUGCCAACCAACCAAUUUGUUAUUCACAUUCCAACUUUCUAAAUGCAUACAAAUAUUUCAUGUUCAUCUACUAACAAAGAUCAUGCCAAGAACCCACAUGCAAAGUCAUUAUUUACCACAUUUUAACUCAACAAGACUUUUCCACAACCAAAGCCUACAAACCUUUAUAUGCAUGUCACAAUCCUUCACUGAAAAUGAUAUUUUCAUCAAUACCAGUUCAUUUUCAGUUCAAGAUUUAAUUCCUUUUCCAACCAUUCCAUCAUCCUCGAAAGCUUCAUCUAAUGACCGGAGAUUCCGUAGUUCCUUAUUGCUGCGAGUGAAGUCCGUAUCCAGUAUUGGAAUGAUCGUCUCUAGGGGAUUGUUGUUGUUGUUGGUGGUGGUGGUGGUGGUGGUGAUGAUUGUCUGAUCAGUGGAAACUGCUCUGCCGGAAGCUCUGACGGCGCCGCCUCCUUCUUCAGUGGACGACAUUUUCAGGCUGAGCGAUUUGAAGUAAUUAACAAGCUGAUUUUGUGAACUUUUUUUGGCUGAGUGAUGUUGGAAAAAGGUACGAUGACGAAAAAUGUUUCUAUAGCUUAUAUAAUAAACACAUGGAAAAUAUUUUUGUUGUAAUAUCAAUUUCAGCCCUUAAUAUUUAUAUUCUUGUCAAUUCCUUUUCUUUUUAGUUGAAUUUAACUCUCUAUCUUUUGAAAGUGUCAAAUUUUACUACGAAUCUUUUAGAAAAGAGUCGAAUUAAUAUUUUUUAACAAAAAUAGUGAGUAAAAUAUUAAAUUUUAAACAUGACAACUUAUAUGAAAGUCUAUGUGUACUUGUUUUUUUAUUUUAAAAUUAUUUGUUGAUGUGGUAUAUAAGAACAGUCGUGUUAUGUUAGCAUGAAGUGCACAUGGAUUGUCACACGAGUUGUAACACAAGUAUCGUUAAAAAUUUAAUGUUUUAGUCAAUAUUUCUGUUAAAGAAAAGCAAUUUGACUCUUUUUUGAAAGGUUAAUGGCUAAAUUUAACUCAAAAUAAUAAUAAUAAUAAUAGUAAAGAAUAAAGACUAAUUUGACAAAAAUGCAAGUGUCGAGGGCUAAUUUAAUCAUUAUAUCUUUUUUUAAAAGUUCCAUUUAUAUAAAUAUCUGGGAGGUCCUUAUAUUAUGAGGAUUGGAUCAAAUUAAUCCCUCUAUUAUUAAAUAGAUCAAUUUAGUUCCUAUACUCUUAAAAGAGAAUCAAAUAAGUCCAAAGUGCAAUAAAGUUAACAUUUACUAUAUAAAAAAUGUCUUGAUUUUUUUUUCAAUUGUAAUUCAAUUCCAAAUAAAAUGUUUCAUUUUCAAAACCAUAAAAACUUUAAAAAUAUUAACUUUGUUAAACGAUAAAUGUUAUAUUUACUUCAAUUUAGUCUUAUUUAAUUUUUUUAAUAGUAUAAAGACUAAAUUGAUCCAUUUAAUAGUAAAAGGACUACUAAUAUAAUGACUUCUCAAAUACAAUCCACUUAAAAUAACUUUUUUUGGAAACACAGACAGAAUAAACUAGACUUACGGGAUGGUGCAUCUAAUUCAACCUUCUAACAUGUCUUGAAGUAUAAUAUAUAUUUUUAUAAUACUAAUGAUAAUUGGAUUUGUUGAAUGAUGAAUGAUAGAAUUAUGAAUUUUAUUUGUGAAGUUUUUUAUGAAUAUAUACAAUUGAUUAAUAUUUUUAUAUUUAAAGUUUAUUUAAUUAUUUUUAUAUAUUAAAUAUUUUAAAAUUUUAUCAAUAAUUUUGGAAAGAUAUACAAAAACAGUGUAGUACUAAUAUGUAUUAGUUUUUGUAGAAAAAUGGUGCGCCAUUAAUGUAGUACUAAUUAACUACCUUGGAUAAAAAAUCAUUUUGCCCCUUGAAUUUGGCAAUUUCCCUCAACUUAGUUCUUAAACUUUUAUAUUAUCUACAUUAGUAUUAUAACUUGACAACUUUUCUCAAUUUUGAUGCAUGUGAUGACACAACACUCUGAUAUUGUGUCAUCCCAUCAUUUAAAAAUAAUAUUUUUAAUAAAAAUUAGGUGUUACAUGGUAGAAACGUCACCAUAAUGACCAAAAAUGAGAAAUGUUGUCAAAAUUCAUGACCGAUGUGGAUAGUGGGGAAGCCAGGGGGUUGAAAAGGGCCCUGCCCCCCCCCCAGAAAAAGGAAAAAAAUUAUUUAGGUCUCUUUAUAAUUUAUAAAAUUUUAAAUUAGUAAAGGUAAAAUUGUAUUUUGCCCCUCAAAAAUGAUAAAAAAAUUGAUUUAAUCCUUUAAAAAUGAUAAAGAUAUAUACCAUUAAAAUGGUGAAAUUACAUUAUUAUUAUCGUAAAAAUAUACAACUUAAUUUUGGAGAUUCUUCAAUUCACCAUUGCUGAGAUGAAGUCUAUACCCGGCAUUGGAAUAAUCGUCUUUAGGGGAUUGGUGCUGGUGGUGAUUGUUUGAUCAGUGGAAAUUGCUCCGCCGGGAGAUCCAACGGCGCCGCCUCCUUCCUCCGUGGACGACAUUUUCAGGCUGAGCAACAAGGUGAUGUUGGAAAAAAAGGUGGCAAAAUGGCUAUGAUCGAUGACGACAAAUGUUUCUAUAGCUUAUAAUAUGGAAAAUACUUUUGGUGCAAUAUCAAUUUAUCCUUUAAUUUUUAUAUUUUUUUUCAAUUUGAUUCUAUUAUCUCUAGUUAAAUUCAAUUCUCUACGAGUCAAAUUUGAUUACCAAUCUUUUAGAAAAGAGUCAAAUUAAUAUUUUUUAACAAAAAUAGUGACUAAAAUGUUAAAUUUCUAAAAACGACAACUCACAUGACAAUCUACAUGUACAAAUGUUAGAAUGCAUUUUAUCUUAUUUACUCAAAAAAUAAGCAAGUUAGUUUCUAUACAUCAGAUCAAAGAGCAAAUUGAUCAUUUUAUUAAAUUUUUAAUCUUUUUCUAUUAUUAAAAAUUGAUUCAUAUACAUAAGUUUGAGGUACAAUGGCACGUCACAUGUUAUGAUUUGGUUAUUCCGUUAGUCACACCAGUUUUUAACAUUACAAAUAGAUGAAAAUUUUAACAGAAAUAGCUAAGUUACUUUUUGAUCUAACAUAUAGGACUACUUUACUCAUUUUUCAAUAUAGGAAGCAAAAUGUAAUCCAACUCAAUGUACAAGGACUUCCAUGUUAUUUUUUUUUCCAAUUUCACAUUAUUUUAUCAUAUUUUAUAUAUAGAUAUAGAUAUAGAUAUUUUAAGCAUACGCCUAUCAUGGAAAUGGUAUAAUGUCCAGAUUAUCUGGUCUUUGAUUUCAUUUGUCAAUUAAUGAUUGUGGAUUGACAACAUUGACCAUUAUUCUAUGCACGGGGACUACUCAUCUACUCCUUUUCUGCCAUUCUCACUACCCAUUGCAUUCAUUUUCUAUGCCCUACUGCUCCUCUGCCGUGCACUCUCCAAUUGUAUUUAAAGACAAUAUAUACAUAUAGAUUGUAAAUUUUCUUGGCUGGAAGCUCACUGCAUGGAAGCCAAAAUCAAAACAAACUUUUGAUGGUUUAAUUGUUUUUGAGCCCUUCAAUUUCAGGUGCUAUGAGAAGUGAAUUACAACCUCAUCUUGUCAUUAUCCCAAAAUCAAAACAAGCAACUCUUGGUUGAAAGUUGAAACCAAGGGCCAAGUCAAAAUUGUUUUAGGAUGAGUCCAAAAUGAAUAAUGAAUUUGAAGGUUCAAAAUAAAAUUUUAUUAUUAUAUUAAUUUAUAAUUUCAUAAAUUUUAAAAGGAUUAAAUGAUAAAUUUACUAAUUUAAGAAGACAAUAGGGAUGGUCAAAUAUUCUAAUUGAACCUAUCUGCGAUCGGAUCGGGAUGGAUUUUUUUAAUUUAAAAAAUUAAAUAGAUUUAAUCGAAAUUCUAGGAGUUACAAAAUUCUCAUAAAUAACAAGAGUUUAUAAAAAGUACACUUACUUUGGUUGAUGUAUGGUAUAAUAAGCCUGCAAAGCACCGAUAAAAAGUGCACCAAUGGCACCCACAAAUGCGAAAAACGUCCAACGAGUCCUAAAAAAAGGACGGUAAACUUGAGCUGGAUAUCUAAUCCACAUAUUUUUAUGAUGAUCAUGUAUUUGCAGUUUAACAUGUCUGUAAAUCAUCAGACUGGGAACCAAAACCAUGUUCAUCUUCUUGAUAAGCUUAGCCACUUCUUUAUCACUCCCCAAUCUAUUGUAUAGUAUGCCGGAGUGUCUCAGUUCCUUAACAUCUUCGGCUUCAUCGAUCAAUGAAUCAAGGAAACCCAUAUAUGAAGUGACGGUGAAAUUGUUGUUGUAGAAAUCCGGACACAUUUCGUAAGCUAUUAAAUUCAUGGUUGAAUCAUCGAUGGUGAUCGGCGGUAACCGUAAUUUUCCGACGAAGAAGUAACUGUUGAAACUGAUGUCGGCUAAACAACUUGUUUCGCUUGCUUCUAACCGUAUCCCGGUGUUUUUAAGCCCAUUUACGUUACGAAAAAGGUGUGAAUGGUGCGGUUUUGUUCUUGUGUGGUCGCUGCGAUUUGUGAAGGAUAUGCAAAACCUAGAAUCAGCUGGUUUUUCUUUAUUGAAAAGGAGUCUUACUCGUAGUAGAUGCAAUAAGUGAAUUCGCUCUCCUUGCUGCGGCCACCAUUCACUAGACCAAAAUCUGUGUUAGUCGGGAGCCAGCUAAAAUUAAGGUUUUCAAUGGUUGAAUCAAAUCAUUAUUAUUUUAAUAAAACAUUAUUUAAAUUAUUAAAUUACAUUUUAAUCCUUUUAAAAAUUAUUAAAUUAUAAAUUUAUAUACAAUAAAAUUAUACUUUGACUCCUCAAAAUGAAUAAAAAUUUGUUCAAACACUUUUGAAAAAUGAUUGAAAUCAUAAAUUAAUACAUAAAAAAAAAUACAAGAACCAAACCAAACUUAUCGAUCGGCCUAAUUAGACAGAAAAUCGAGCAAGGUACUAGUCCAGAAUAAUAAAUUAAAUCCAUUGAAUCCAAUCAUCGAAUGGAUUUUUUUUUAUAUCUUUAAUAUUUUUAAAAUUUUAUAUAAUUGAAUCGAAUAAACUAAUCAAACGAAAAUGAGACUCUAAUCGAUUCUAUCACGGUUUAAUUAAAUUUUUUUACCCUGUUCAUAUAAAUUUUUAAAUCGGUUGGUCUAAUGACUUUCUCCGAAUUGAUAAUUCAAUUAAUUUUCAAUCCAAACCGAUUCAAACAAUAUUAACUAAACUACAAUUUUUAUUAUUGUAUUAAUGCAAAAAUCUUACCAUUUUUAAAAUAUUAAACUUUUCCAUUCUGAAAAGUUGGAUUUUUGAAAUCAUAAUUUUUUAUUUCUAAAAAAUGUACACUCAACAGGAUAAAUGUAAAACGACAGGCAGGGAUCGUUCCCAAUAAAUGAAAAAUUACACUUUACUCUCUUUUAAAUUUAUUAAAUUAUAAUAAGUCCUCAAAUUAAAAAAUAAUAAUUGUUCAAUUUUUUUUAAAAAAAAAGAUAAAAUCAUAAAUUAAUACAAAAAAAAUUAAAAAUCAAUCCAUACUUGUUAAUCAAGUUGGUUGAAUAAAAAAUCAAAUAAAAUUGAAGUUAUACCAAUUGAAUUAAAGAAUGGAAUAAAUUUCUUUUUAUAUUUUUAAUAAUUUUAAAAAUUUAUAUAAUUAAACUGAAUUAUCUAAUCAAAUGGAAAAGAGAGUCUAAUAGAUUCCAUCACCCAUGUAGUUAUAAAAACCUUUUAAAAAUGAUUAUUUAUUUAAUUCCCUAAAUUACCUGUCCUCGCCUGGGUUGAUAACAGUAUCGUCGAUGAACCUUUGGAUUGCAUUCAUAAACUUUUCGCCAUUUUUUCUCGGCCUUGUAAGCAGUUCAAGAACACGAAAAGGUAAUUGGUUUUCCAACAAUAACAGAUCCGAGUACACAAAUGUCAGCAAAUCGUCUUUAAUAAACAAUUUACCAUCAUCAUCAUCACCGUAACGCCUGUAAACUGCUUGUAAAAUUGCGCAGCCGUCAACGAAGAACAUCC